CCCUUAGAUGUCCUGGGCCGCACGCGCGCUACACUGAUGCAGGCACUAAGUUCCGUGGCAGACAUGUCCCGGGAACCUUCAAACUGCAUCGUGAUGGGGAUUGACUCUUGGAAUUCUUGGUCAUGAACGAGGAAUACCUAGUAAACGCAAGUCAUCAGCUUGCAUUGAUUACGUCCCUGCCCUUUGUACACACCGCCCGUCGCUCCUACCGAUUGAGUGGUGAGGUGAGCCCUCCGGACCGCCUAGCGGGAAGCUGUGCAAACCUUACCACUUAGAGGAAGGAGAAGUCGUANCA
rnacentral:rRNA from 1 species